GAUAGUGAACCAGUACCGUGAGGGAAAGGCGAAAAGAACCCCGGCGAGGGGAGUGAAAUAGAACCUGAAACCGUGUACGUACAAGCAGUGGGAGCCCCAUCACUCAAGUGCCUCGGCAAUUGAGUGACGGUGUAAAACCAUCACAAUAACAGCGCAGGAUUUGCCAACAAGAUUGGCUGAUUUUUUCAAGCCGCAGCGCAGUGGACAUCGAAGUCCAUGAG
rnacentral:rRNA from 1 species